rfam:Pseudomonas sp. Lz4W Contig06, whole genome shotgun sequence.
ACGUGAGUCGGGCUUGGUCUUUACUGGGGUCCGGCGGGUUUGGUGAGGCUCGGGAGGGUUUUGCCGAACGUCCUUGAGAGUGCAAAG